rnacentral:lncRNA from 1 species
CGAAAAUUAAUUUAUUCAACAUGGCGGUCUCAUUAAAAAGUCACCGUAUAUAAAUGACUUUUCAGCAAUAUUGCUGUGCAGCACAAAAAAUCACAGUGAAUCUUGACCUGUCCUCUUGGCGAUGGUAAAUGAUCAGAUACCUGUGUUGUUGCAGGCAGACCUGUAGGGAUUGAAGCAGCGAUGUAUCUUGUCACAAGCAUUUGCAGUCGGACAUCCUUGUAACUCAAAAGUAACAAAGCAUACUGAUCAGAAAUAUUCAGAAAGUGGAAAAGACAAGAAAGAGUACAUGAUACUUGUGGCUCAAAUCUGGCCUUUACAAGUAUAGUUUCCUAUUGAGAACUGGAAGGAUCAAGUUACAGCCCCUCCAAAUCCACACAAACACCUUGGAACCUCCAACUCAAUUGUACGAACCACACCCAUAACCAAAUAUAUGAAUGGGGAAUUUUUGAGUGUCAAGUCAGCUUGAAAAUGUCAGGGCGUCAUGUGGAGAACAUCACACAAAGUAUAGAACAUAUUGAGUAUAUUUAGAGAUGGGUGUGUUUCCUGACCAACAAAGGAAAUUUGAUCCAGUAAACCCACCUACUAAUGUGGAGUAAGUACUUCUGAUCUUGACUCUUUUGUAUGAACAAGGUCAGCAAAAGUACUAGCGAGAUUUAGUCUUCAGAGUUUUGUUUUGUUUAUAUAGAUAUAUAAAAUCACCUGAAGAGCCCCAAGAUGGGCGAAAGCGC